CAUGACUUAAAAGUCAAUAGACCCACGGCUUAUUAAACCUUUGGACAAAACAAAGUAUCUGUUAGAAAAGUAUUUAGACAGAUUCAGUGACAAUGGCACAGUUUGGAGGUUUACUUGAUGAGAAAAACGAGGGGACAGUUUGGAGACUUGCUUGGUGGAAUAAACAAGUAAAACAAGUAAUUUAAGGAUGGCAAAUAAGACCCACACGGCUCAAUAGUCUUAGAGACCCACAAGGCUCAAUCAUCAUCAUCAUCAGAACUAGAGCAAACAAUGGAAAAUAAAUUCAUCAUAAACAAAACGAGAUUCAUCACAAAACCCACAACAGAGAAUCAUGAAACGAGAUUCAUCAUCAUCAUCAUCACAUAACCCGAGUCGUGGAUCUAAGACUUUAGAAGCUAAAACUCAAAGUUAUAGAAACAUAAGAUCAAAAGCAAAAAUUCGAGAAUCUUACCUGAAAUUGCGAGAAGAAGAAGUCACGGCGGAGAAGAUGAAUCCAGAAGGAAAGAUCAGAAGGAGAGAUCGCAAAAUUUCAUCUCAAAAUCGCAAGAAAAAAAGAUGUUACGACGGCUACGUUGAAAAGGGUUUUUUUCAGUCAAAAAAAAAAUUAUAUAUUGGGCUAACCCAAUGUCCAACUGGGCUGGACCAAAUUGUCCAUGGGCAAACUGGGUUUCUAGCCCAACUGGACCAAAAAUUAUUAGGGCUUAACCAUAACCCACCAAAAACAGUUUGGGUUGGGCUACACCCAUGGGCACCCAACCAGUUUACAGUCCUAAC
rnacentral:lncRNA from 1 species